rnacentral:rRNA from 1 species
GCGCGGCACGGGGGGCCUACGGGAGGCAGCAGUGGGGAAUAUUGCACAAUGGGCGCAAGCCUGAUGCAGCCAUGCCGCGUGUAUGAAGAAGGCCUUCGGGUUGUAAAGUACUUUCAGCGGGGAGGAAGGGAGUAAAGUUAAUACCUUUGCUCAUUGACGUUACCCGCAGAAGAAGCACCGGCUAACUCCGUGCCAGCAGCCGCGGUAAU